GAGCGUAAACAUCUUGACUUUUAAUCAAGUUGUCCGGGGUUCGAAUCCCCGCACGCUCA
rnacentral:tRNA from 1 species